GCCCUUUUAACUCAGUGGUAGAGUAAUGCCAUGGUAAGGUGUAAGUCAUCGUUUCAAGUCUGAUGAAGGGCU
rfam:Amborella trichopoda AMTR_V1.0_contig_6183, whole genome shotgun sequence.